UGAAAAGGGUGUUAGCUUAAGUACGUCGCAUACAUGCGACAACAGCUAACUGUCCUGCAUUAUGCAGG
rnacentral:sRNA from 1 species